rnacentral:rRNA from 1 species
CACGCAGGUGGCUUGGCAAGUCGGAUGUGAAAGCCCCGGGCUUAACCUGGGAACUGCAUUCGAUACUGCUGAGCUAGAGUAUGGGAGAGGAAAGCGGAAUUCCCGGUGUAGCGGUGAAAUGCGUAGAUAUCGGGAGGAACAUCAGUGGCGAAGGCGGCUUUCUGGCCCAAUACUGACACUCAUGUGCGAAAGCGUGGGGAGCAAACAG